rfam:Halobacillus sp. BAB-2008 contig78, whole genome shotgun sequence.
CAGACCUUUAAAAGACAGUCCCGUGAGGCUGAGAAGGAAAACGGUAAGAAUGCACGAUUCGUGUAUUCAAAAAGCCACUUUUCUGCCCUCAUGCGGAAAAGUGGCUUUUUU